rnacentral:rRNA from 1 species
AAUCUUCCACAAUGGACGGAAGUCUGAUGGAGCAACGCCGCGUGAGCGAAGAAGGUUUUCGGAUCGUAAAACUCUGUUGUAAGGAAAGAACACGUACGAGAGUCACUGCCCGUACCUUGAUGGUACCUUAUCAGAAAGCCACGGCUAACUACGUGCCAGCAGCCGCGGUAAUACUUCGGUGGCAAGCGUUGUCCGGAAUUAUUGGGCGUAAAGCGCGCGCAGGCGGUCCUUUAAGUCUGAUGUGAAAGCCCACGGCUUAACCGUGGAGGGUCAUUGGAAACUGGAGGACUUGAGUACAGAAGAGGAAAGCGGAAUUCCACGUGUAGCGGUGAAAUGCGUAGAGAUGUGGAGGAACACCAGUGGCGAAGGCGGCUUUCUGGUCUGUAACUGACGCUGAGGCGCGAAAGCGUGGGGAGCAAACA